CGCGGUAGUCCUACCUCUUUUCCUGCGCGUGCGUGCAGCUCCCGUGCUCAGCCGCGGGGCUGGAGGGGCCGUGGGGACUCUGGGCCCGAGGGUCCAUAGGUGACAUUAUCAGUCGAUAGGCAUUUAUUCUACUGUUUGAGGAAAACAAACAGGGGUGCAGCUUAGGUGAAAAGAGAAACAGCUUAUUGCCAGUGUCUAAACUAACAACGGAAUGUGUCUGGGAGCGUGUGUAUGGAUACACGUGUACUUUAGAGCAGCCCCGCCUGUGUGCAGAGCUCUUGGUCUAAGCCAACGCUUCACGGGAGCUAUCGCACUUUAAGCCUCAAAACAACUUUAUGAGGUCUGUGAAGUGUCAGACCUCAAGAUGGACAACAGCUGUUUCAUUAGAUACAGCAUCUAGUUCUCCAGUCAUAAACCUGUACAACAUUCACUGAAAUUUGUUGGCCUAUUUCUAACAGGCUUGUUUAUGUGCAUUCUUACUCUAUCCUGGACUGGAAUCAGAAAAUUGGACAAUGUUGCAGGUUCUGACUGAUGCAGGCACACUGACCAGCCAAAGUGAGAAGUGAGUGAAAUUUCAACAGACUACACUACAAGAAAAGUUAAAGAAGUCCUUCAGACAGAAGGGAAAUGAUACCAGGUGGAAAUACAGAUUUACACAAAGGGAUGAUGAGAGCUGCAAAAGGAUUGGUUCCUGCAAGUGAAACUACUGUAUCAAAGAUUUGGACAUUUUUGACUCCAGAAAGGUAAUAUAGUAAUAGAUGGGUGUGUAAAUUACAUUCUUAGUAACAGUUAUUAGCACUUAUUUUCAGUCUCUGCCAAUCUGAUGGAAAGACCCUUUCUGUAAUUUACAUAAAGUUGCAUUUUGUUCAUACACUCAUAUUAAUAACUUUGCCAUUUUAGGGACUUGCAGUUCUUUACAGAGCCUUGCCAAGAUAUUGAAGAAAAUAUAUUUUGUUAUUGGCUUUGGCAGCAUUUAAGAUAAAUUAUAUUUUGAACACAUAGAAAGGUGAGGAAAAAGUAACAUAAAAAAGGAUCCAAAUUAUUUUACUUAAUAAAAAGUAAGAUUGUAUUUAAUUUUCUUCUUUUUUUAGAAACAGGAAAGUUUUAUUAUGAUUGUUUAAGAAGCUUAAUAAAUAUAUAAAUUGAUUUUCCAUUAUAGAAAUGGAGAAUACUGCUUCUUUUUACAUUUCCAUUAAAUAUAUAUGCAAUCAAUUAUUUCUUGGGCACAAAGGAAGUGCAACACAGUACAAGAAAGGAAAAAUUGUACAGGCCAUAUUCUGACCACAAAACAAUGCUCUGUGAUGACCUAGA